CAGCAGCCACGGGAAUACGAAGGGGGCUAGCGUUGCUCGGAAUUACUGGGCGUAAAGCGUGCGCAGGCGGUGUUGUAAGACUGAUGUGAAAUCCCCGGGCUCAACCUGGGAACUGCAUUGGUGACUGCAACGCUGGAGUGCGGCAGAGGGGGAUGGAAUUCCGCGUGUAGCAGUGAAAUGCGUAGAUAUGCGGAGGAACACCGAUGGCGAAGGCAAUCCCCUGGGCCUGCACUGACGCUCAUGCACGAAAGCGUGGGGAGCAAACAGGAUUAGAUACCCCGGUAGUCCCUGUCUCUUAUAC
rnacentral:rRNA from 1 species